CCUACGGGUGGCUGCAGUGGGGAAUAUUGGACAAUGGGGGGAACCCUGAUCCAGCCAUGCCGCGUGUGUGAAGAAGGCCCUCGGGUUGUAAAGCACUUUCAGUGAGGAAGAACGCCUGGUGGUUAAUACCCAUCAGGAAAGACAUCACUCACAGAAGAAGCACCGGCUAACUCCGUGCCAGCAGCCGCGGUAAUACGGAGGGUGCGAGCGUUAAUCGGAAUUACUGGGCGUAAAGCGCGCGUAGGUGGCUUGAUAAGCCGGUUGUGAAAGCCCCGGGCUCAACCUGGGAACGGCAUCCGGAACUGUCAAGCUAGAGUGCAGGAGAGGAAGGUAGAAUUCCCGGUGUAGCGGUGAAAUGCGUAGAGAUCGGGAGGAAUACUAGUGGCGAAGGCGGCCUUCUGGACUGACACUGACACUGAGGUGCGAAAGCGUGGGUAGCAAACAGGAUUAGAUACCCCUGUAGUC
rnacentral:rRNA from 1 species